UUCAUUCAGCCGAUCACCCUUCUUUGAAAAAUACUUCCUUCGGCGAGCUUUUCGAUAAAUCAACACUUCUACUCUCUUCCUCUCAUUCUCUUGGUGGCGAAGGAUCCUCCUAGGGGAAGGAAAUCGUCGAUCCGUGAGCGCAUCUCAAGGCGGGACGUAUAGUUUUACUGCGACGUUGGACUGGAUUAUGCUGGGUGGCGAAGUAUCCUCCAAGGGGAAGAAAAUCAUUGACCAGUGAGUGCUCCUCGAGGCGAGACGACUAGUUCGACUGCGAUGUUGGAUUUCGUUGUGCUGGGCAGGCAAUUGAGUGACAUAUCUAUUCUUCUUGUCUAGGUUAGUUUGCAGAGUGUAUGUAAACUCUAUAGAUCCACUAGACUUGCCCUUUUUAUGUAUUGUUCUUGUAUUUAUACUUUCUAGUUGUAUUUGGAAACCCAUGCUUGUACUGUUGUUGAUGUUUUCCUGUAUUUAGGGUCCCUACUGUAAGGGAACCCUAUUAUAACUUUAUUGUUGAUAUUGUCUCAUACUUUAGUAACU